rnacentral:rRNA from 1 species
ACCUUCGGGUUAGUGGCGGACGGGUGAGUAACGCGUGAGAAUCUGCCCUCAGGAGGGGGAUAACGGCUGGAAACGGCCGCUAAUACCCCAUAUGCCGAGAGGUGAAAUGAAUUUCGCCUGAGGAUGAGCUCGCGUCUGAUUAGCUAGUUGGUGAGGUAAUGGCUCACCAAGGCUUCGAUCAGUAGCUGGUCUGAGAGGAUGAUCAGCCACACUGGGACUGAGACACGGCCCAGACUCCUACGGGAGGCAGCAGUGGGGAAUUUUCCGCAAUGGGCGAAAGCCUGACGGAGCAACGCCGCGUGAGGGAUGAAGGCCUCUGGGCUGUAAACCUCUUUUAUCAAGGAAGAAGAUCUGACGGUACUUGAUGAAUAAGCCACGGCUAAUUCCGUGCCAGCAGCCGCGGUAAUACGGGAGUGGCAAGCGUUAUCCGGAAUUAUUGGGCGUAAAGCGUCCGCAGGCGGUUUUGAAAGUCUGUUGUUAAAGCGUGGAGCUUAACUCCAUUUCAGCAAUGGAAACUACAAGACUAGAGUGUGGUAGGGGCAGAGGGAAUUCCCGGUGUAGCGGUGAAAUGCGUAGAUAUCGGGAAGAACACCAGUGGCGAAGGCGCUCUGCUGGGCCAUAACUGACGCUCAUGGACGAAAGCCAGGGGAGCGAAAGGGAUUAGAUACCCCUGUAGUCCUGGCCGUAAACGAUGAACACUAGGUGUCGGGGGAAUCGACCCCCUCGGUGUCGUAGCCAACGCGUUAAGUGUUCCGCCUGGGGAGUACGCACGCAAGUGUGAAACUCAAAGGAAUUGACGGGGGCCCGCACAAGCGGUGGAGUAUGUGGUUUAAUUCGAUGCAACGCGAAGAACCUUACCAGGGUUUGACAUCCUGCGAAUCCCUUGGAAACUUGGGAGUGCCUUCGGGAGCGCAGUGACAGGUGGUGCAUGGCUGUCGUCAGCUCGUGUCGUGAGAUGUUGGGUUAAGUCCCGCAACGAGCGCAACCCACGUCUUUAGUUGCCAGCAUUUAGUUGGGCACUCUAGAGAGACUGCCGGUGAUAAACCGGAGGAAGGUGUGGAUGACGUCAAGUCAUCAUGCCCCUUACAUCCUGGGCUACACACGUACUACAAUGCUACGGACAAAGGGCAGCAAACUCGCGAGAGCUAGCAAAUCCCAUAAACCGUGGCUCAGUUCAGAUCGUAGGCUGCAACUCGCCUACGUGAAGGAGGAAUCGCUAGUAAUCGCAGGUCAGCAUACUGCGGUGAAUACGUUCCCGGGCCUUGUACACACCGCCCGUCACACCAUGGAAGUUGGCCACGCCCGAAGUCGUUACUCCAACCCUUGUGGAGGAGGAUGCCGAAGGUGGGGCUGAUGACUGGGGUGAAGUCGUAACAAGGUAGCCGUACCGGAAGGUGC